UGCACGCGAAUUUCGCAGCGAAACAAACAAUAUAUCCACGCCAAACGGAACUAGGAAACACAGAUUAUAUGUUCAUUUUUCCCAUACUGUUUGUUCAAAUCGUGAUUUCUAAUGUCAUAAGGAGUUUCAAGCGCCGUCUCACUAAGCCAGCGAAAAUGUCCGAGGACCUGGACGAGCUCUUCCUGUCGCCCAUUCCGGCGCCCUCGGCCGUGGAGCUGCAGCAGUGCAUCCUGUUCGGGUUCCGACGGCGCCUGCAUCCCGCCCAGAUCUUCGAGGAGUGCCGCAACGCCUUCGGUCCCUUCUGCCCCAGUGCGCAGUACGUGGCGAAGUGGUACCAGCGGUUCCAGGACGGCUUCUUCAGCCUGGACGAGAAGGACGACGAGGAGCUGAGGAUCGGGCGUGGUGGCACACCCACGACCUGCAGCGACUACGACGAUGACAGUGAAAGCGGCGAGGCGACAGUUCUGCCCCUGAUCCUGAGUGAAAUGAUCCAUCGCAGUGAGGAGGAGGAUGAUGGUACUGAUGGUUUUGAGAAGGAGAGUGAUGAUGGUCUAGAUGGUCAUGUGAUUGGUUAUUGGCAGGGUUAUGGCUAUUUGGGUGGCAAGCACAGUGGAAACUCGGUCUGCGAGCUGCCCCCGCUACCAAAAUCCCUCAUUGGCUUCAACAAGCUAUUGUGCUCCGAUUCGGGCCUGCUGAGUGAUGUGGAAGGCAACAAUAACAGCAGCGAAACAGGUCGAAAACCAAGCGACACUCAGGCCGGCGAGCUCCAGGAUACCCAGGAGCCUGCCACCGACAAGUCACUGCCCUCCUCGCCGAACGGAAACACAUCCAGACCACCAAUUGCACCCCAAUCCGAGGCCAAGUCCCCCAGCUUAUCCGCCAAAGGAAACCCCCAAGCGGUCGAGGCGGGCAGCACUCUGGAUGCCCAGAUUGCGACGCUGCGGAAGGAAAUGAACGGACUGCGUCAACUAGAUCUCUCGUUGUUGUCACAACUGUGGGUGCUUAACGAAUCGAUCCAAGAGUUCCGCGCCCUGAUCGAGGAUCAGGAGAACGAGGAUGAGGACGACGAGAUGGAGAAUGGCAACGAGAUGGACGAGGAGGGCAACAGCCGGGUCUCCUCGUCCAUCGAGUCGGUGCGAUUGGAGGGCGGUGCGGAUGCCAUGUCGAAGCAUCUGGGAACCAUACCAAAGGUCAUAACGACGCAGCCAAAGGUGCUGAGGGACUCACUGGCCAUGGCCAGCAAGGACCAGAAGCCGGUGCCCAGGAUGCGGAGUGCUCCGCCACCACCACCUCCCGCCGUGCUGCAAUCCUCCUCCCUGGAGCGAAAACCGCCGGCUCCGUCACGACCCACAUGAUGUUACCUCUCGGACUUCCUCGCCGGAGUCAGGAUGGUCAUGUGCAAGGCGAUCGUGAGCGAUGUGCCCGCCUCAUCCGCCUCCGCCCCA
rnacentral:misc_RNA from 1 species